rnacentral:rRNA from 1 species
AGUGAACGCUGGCGGUAGGCCUAACACAUGCAAGUCGAACGGCAGCACAGUAAGAGCUUGCCCUUACGGGUGGCGAGUGGCGGACGGGUGAGGAAUACAUCGGAAUCUACUUUUUCGUGGGGGAUAACGUAGGGAAACCUACGCUAAUACCGCAUACGACCUACGGGUGAAAGCAGGGGAUCUUCGGACCUUGCGCGAUUGAAUGAGCCGAUGUCGGAUUAGCUAGUUGGCGGGGUAAAGGCCCACCAAGAAGACGAUCCGUAGCUGGUCUGAGAGGAUGAUCAGCCACACUGGAACUGAGACACGGUCCAGACUCCUACGGGAGGCAGCAGUGGGGAAUAUUGGACAAUGGGCGCAAGCCUGAUCCAGCCAUACCGCGUGGGUGAAGAAGGCCUUCGGGUUGUAAAGCCCUUUUGUUGGGAAAGAAAAGCAGCAGGUUAAUACCCCGCUGUUCUGACGGUACCCAAAGAAUAAGCACCGGCUAACUUCGUG